GCUGGUGUGGCUAAGCGGUUAGAGCAUUAGCCCUCGAACCUAAGGGUUGAGGGUUUGAUUCUCUGUCAAGGGCU
rnacentral:tRNA from 1 species